AAAUUUGGCUGAGAGACUCAGACUGGUCAUGGGUAGACCUAUCUGGGGUUUGAUCGAUGCCACUCCUGGUUUCAGGAGCACCCUUCAUAAUAAACCUAGAAAUUCAGUAUUAUAAAGUUUAAUAAAAAACAACUUUUAACAAUGGAUCUCUUGGUUCUCGCAUCGAUGAAGAACGUAGCAAAGUGCGAUAACUAGUGUGAAUUGCAUAUUCAGUGAAUCAUCGAGUCUUUGAACGCAGCUUGCACUCUAUGGUUUUUCUAUAGAGUACGCCUGCUUCAGUAUCAUCACAAACCCACACAUAACAUUUGUUUAUGUGGUGAUGGGUCGCAUCGCUGUUUUAUUACAGUGAGCACCUAAAAUGUGUGUGAUUUUCUGUCUGGCUUGCUAGGCAGGAAUAUUACGCUGGUCUCAGGAUCUUUUUUUUUGGUUCGCCCAGGAAGUAAAGUACAAGAGUAUAAUCCAGUAACUUUCAAACUAUGAUCUGAAGUCAGGUGGGAUUACCCGCUGAACUUAAGCAUAUCAAUAAGCGGAGGAAAAGAAAAUAACAAUGAUUUCCCUAGUAACGGCGAGUGAAGAGGAAAGAGCUCAAAGUUGGAACCUGUUUGGCCUAGCUAAACCGGAUUGUAGACUGUAGAAGUGUUUUCCAGGCAAGCCGAGUAAAUAAGUCCUUUGGAACAGGGCAUCAUAGAGGGUGAGAAUCCCGUCUUUGGCUUGAGCAUUUGCCUUUUGUGAUACGCUUUCAAAGAGUCAGGUUGUUUGGGAAUGCAGCCUAAAUUGGGUGGUAAAUCUCACCUAAAGCUAAAUAUUGGCGAGAAACCGAUAGCGAACAAGUACCGUGAGGGAAAGAUGAAAAGAACUUUGAAAAGAGAGUUAAACAGUAUGUGAAAUUGUUAAAAGGGAACCGUUUGGAGCCAGACUGGCUUGUCUGUAAUCAAUCUAGGCUUCGGCCUGGAUGCACUUGCAGGCUAUGCCUGCCAACGACAAUUUGACUUGAGGGAAAAAACUAAGGGAAAUGUGGCCCACUUGUGGGUGUUAUAGUCCCUUAGAAAAUACCUUGGGUUGGAUUGAGGAACGCAGCGAAUGCUUUUU
rnacentral:rRNA from 1 species